UCCCCAACAUUCAAGUUCCACACACCCUCCCAAACGCUUUUCCGGUAGAGUCUCCGUCCCACUGAGACCGGUCCCGCCCACUCCGUCUCAGGCCGCCUUCCACACAGCUCCAGCUGUCAGGCUGCCCUGCACCCGCUCUGCAAAGCCUCCCCUCAUGUUUGCUGCCGGCCUAGAGCAGAACUGGAUCUAGGAGGACGCUGCAUCCGGGUAUCUGACCCCACACAUUUCACUGUGUGGUCCUGACUGUCCUGGAACUGCAAAUACCAGGCUGGCUUUGAACUCUCAAGUACUGAGAUUAAAGAAACUUCAUCUGGCGAUGGAUGGAGAUAGAGACAGAGACCCACAUUGGAGCACUGGACUGAGCUCCCAAAAUCCAAAUGAGGAGCAGAAGUUGGGAGAACAUGAGCAGAGAAAUCAGGACCGCGAGAGGGUGCGCCACCCACUGUGACGGUGGGGCUGAUCUAUUGUGAGCUCACCAAGGCCAGCUGGACUGGGACUGAUGGAACAUGUGAUCAAAUCGGACUCUCUGAACGUGGUGGUCAAUGAGGGCGGACUGAGAAGCCAAGGACAAUGGCACUCGGUUUUGAUCCUUCAGCAUGUACUGGCUUUGUGGGAACCUAGUCUGUUUGGAUGCCCACCUUCCUAGACCUGGAUGAAGGAGGGAGGACCUUGGACUUCUCAUAGGGCAGGGAACCCUGACUGCU